GAACCCUGAUAUUUGUGUCCACAAUAGGGAAGCAGUAUUCUUCUGACCACUAACAAAUGGCAACCUCAUUUGAAAAAGUAAAACAUGAUUUUUUUUUUUACUUGUGUGUUGACUGUGGUGGUUUAAUGAGGCUUUUGGCUAAAUCUAUUGAGAUGAUUGUGUCGCACAGAGAACAAUUCUUAUUAUGGAAGGUGUGUGAUUAUGUUAGUUUGUGGAGCUUCUCAAUCAAAAGCAAAAAAUAAAUAAACCUGCGUCACAACCACGUUCUGGAAAGGUUGAGAUGUUUUUUUUUCUUCACAUUUAAAUAAAAUGAAAACAAGAAGUAUUAUAAAUCCCUGGAAUUCAUAUCUUUCCCAAACAGAACACUAAUUAUGAUUAUGUCCCCUCAAGGGCUCAAAAUUGUCACAGGGUUAACAACCGGCUGAAAAAAACAAAACAAAAAAGAUUCAAUUGGGAGAACGGCUCACAACUAAUUAAGUUAAUUGAUGUCAGAUCUGUAACAGGAUUAAAGUUUUUAAAAGGAAGAGUUACUCAAAAGAUGGCCAACGGCUUUGUUUGCUGUGAAAGAGUGGGUGAAAAGAUUGCAAAAUGCACAAAACCGCAAGCAUCUGACAAAAGCAGGCCUUUUGUUCUUGAGUCCAGGUUUGGAAGUUUCUGGGUGCAGUCCAGAUCGUUCAUAUUAAAAAAGAAAAAACAAAAAACAAAAAAAAAAUGUCCAAGCUGCUGAUAAACCAGAUUGAGGCUUCCUUGUUUUGCCUUGGUCUCAGACUGUAAGGCCUUGGCGUCAGCGUGGGAAUUUGGUCCUCCCUAUGACAGGGGAGGCAUGCCUCACUCCAUGACACAAAAUGGAUCACAUGCAGGACUAUUUUUUUAUCAUCUGAAGUUGAAGCAUAGUGGAAAUCCCACCCGGGCGACGUCCAUUAGCAUUGACCUCUGACCUGGCUUUCCCCCUGAGGAUGCAGAACACACAGUGUUAUUGGAUUCAAAAAAAUUCGGGAGCGGAGCCAUCCCGGUUGUGUUUUCAUGGCCUUUGGGACCUUAACUGCAAGUAAAAGUGGCCUUGAUGAUUAUAAUUAGGUAUGAUUGCACUUCAAGGAUCCUCAAGUUCCAAGCUGACAAGUAUUCCCGCGCCACUGAUUAAUGAACUAUUACACAGUGUAUUCAGUUCUACUGCCACAAAGAGGAAACAGUGAGGUUUCUGCAGGCGACGGCAUAAUGAUUACAAAUGAGUGCCACACAGACGCUGUGCGGGAGCCCUGGAAAUUUCGACUGAGUUCUUGUGUUCAGGUCUUGCAGUUUGUAGCUUUGGUGGGCUUCAUCAGCUGUUUCCUCGGUGCAGAAACUUUAAAGAGGAUGAAUCGACCUGAAUUAGGAGACUAAAUCCAAAUCCCCUGGUGGUGCUAACCUCAGGCAAAGCUUUUGUUUAUGCUGCGCUCUAUCCGUGAUCUUGGAAGUAUUGUAAAUCCUUGCAUUUCUACUUUCAUCUCCAUGCAGCACCUUGAUCCUCGCUGCGUCAUUAGUGCCUCGGCGGUAAUGAGAACUUUGGGUGAGGAAUUGCAACGACCCGGUUACUCUGCUUUGUAUGAGAGUGAAUGUGCGUGUUUGUGCUGAGGACGCGCGCCAGCACAGCUCAUUAUAGGGACUCAAUGUAAAUCCGAGAGCCUCUGUUGUUGUUGAUUGAGGCGACGCAGCGAUCCUCAUCCGUUUAUUGUGCAGACGGCAGCUUUUAAAAUGAAAUACGAUGAAGACGUUGAUAAGAGCUGAAGCAAACAGCCAGGUCUGAAAUAUUCCCAAGAAUCUCAUCAUCGGGAGCUUGAUUUGGUGCACGGCACAGUGGAUAGUUCUCCAGAGAAACAAAAUAAACCCUUAAAUUAGCAUGCAUAUUUUUUUUAAGUAGCAUGGCGUCCAAUGUGUCAGUCUUCCACUAUUAAAAAACUCUUAAAUACGUUAUCCUUCUCUUACAUGGCUUGAAUGACGACCUAUCAUUUGAUGUUUUAUUAUUCCACACCAAUUAGGUCCCUUAUUAAUGCAGGCAGGGCACAGCCAAACUCUUAAUAUUUUUUUAAUCAAGAUACCCUUAUGCUUAUUUAAUGGGGUUUUUAUGGCUCUUGGAAGAUGGCAUUUACACUGAAAGAGGAAAAAGAUUCAUAGGGCUUGCAGUGCCCACC